GUAGGAGGACCAGCACACAUACUAAAAUGGAAUAAUACAGAGAAGAUUAGCAUGGCCCCUGUGCAAGGAUGACACACAAAUUCAGGAGGACCUAUUACGCUGCU